GACGAACCGUGCGAACGUUGUUCGGAUUCACUGGGCUUAAAGGGCGCGUAGGCGGCUUGCCAAGUCAGGGGUGAAAUCUUUCGGCUCAACCGGUAAAGUGCCUUUGAUACUGGCGAGCUAGAGGGAGGUAGGGGUGCGUGGAACUUCUGGUGGAGCGGUGAAAUGCGUAGAUAUCAGAAGGAACGCCGGUGGCGAAAGCGACGCACUGGAUCUCUACUGACGCUGAGGCGCGAAAGCUAGGGGAGCGAACGGG
rnacentral:rRNA from 1 species